AACGAACGCUGGCGGCAGGCUUAACACAUGCAAGUCGAGCGCCCCGCAAGGGGAGCGGCAGACGGGUGAGUAACGCGUGGGAAUCUACCUUUUGCUACGGAAUAACUCAGGGAAACUUGUGCUAAUACCGUAUGUGUCCUUCGGGAGAAAGAUUUAUCGGCAAGAGAUGAGCCCGCGUUGGAUUAGCUAGUUGGUGGGGUAAAGGCCUACCAAGGCGACGAUCCAUAGCUGGUCUGAGAGGAUGAUCAGCCACACUGGGACUGAGACACGGCCCAGACUCCUACGGGAGGCAGCAGUGGGGAAUAUUGGACAAUGGGCGCAAGCCUGAUCCAGCCAUGCCGCGUGAGUGAUGACGGUCUUAGGAUUGUAAAGCUCUUUCACCGGUGAAGAUAAUGACGGUAACCGGAGAAGAAGCCCCGGCUAGCUUCGUGCCAGCCGCCGCGGUAAGAC
rnacentral:rRNA from 1 species